UGUGGCUGGCAUCUUCAGAGAAUGCUGGCAUGGAAGAGAGUGGGGCACUUUCCUGAAUGUGAAGCAGGCUCACCCAAAGGCAGGAGAAUGAAAUGUCAACCGGAGAGCAGCCAAAGAGGAUGCGGCACAAAACGCAACCUACCUGCAAGUGAGAGAUAGAUGCCAGACUGCAGAAGCGGAUGGAUGCUUUAGCAACAGGAGAAGAUCAGCUCUCUAAGAACUGCUGUGGGCAAUGUGUCAAAGGGAAGCGCACUCAUGUACACGCACACAGACACACGACUGAACCCAUCAAGGAAAGGAGAAGGAAACCGCAAGAAGGGGAAGCGGUCAACGGAAAGGUUUCGGCAAAGAUUGCGUACGAUCGCUCAAAAAGUCUGUCGGAUGAUAUAUGAGGAUUACAUGUGGAAUUCACAGUUAUAUCAGAAGUGUAUUGAUCCUGGCUGCCUGCUUUCUAUUCUGCAAUAAGGAUGAAUAGAUCCUUUCCUCUGGCUUCGGUUCCUCCAUUGAUCCCUCGGCAAACGCCGCUUGCAUUCCAAUUGAGAGACUUGCAUGGAGCAACAAAUUGCACGACUGAAUGCACACUCGUGGACCCAUGAAUGGACAUCUGCAUCUCUAGCCCUUGGGAAGAUGUUCCAAAGUGUGGGAGCAGCCACAGAGAAGGCCUUGUAUGGGACAGAGAAGAAGUAGAAGAAAAAGAAGAAGAAGAAGAUACUAAGGAAAGGAAAGGAGGGCUCCCCUCAUGUCUUAUUUAUGAUUCCCUUGAAGAGAGCAAGACGUGGGGAGAAUAAUGCAGAGCCUGAAGACAGGAGGAAGACCGAGGAAGGAGAAGGGAUGCUUUUGUGGGGCGAGGAGAAGGUUGGAACAAGGGAGCCAAGAUAAAGGUCUGGCGGUCGGUUCCCCAAGCAGCCAUUUUCCUUCUCUGCCUGACGACUUGUGCCUUGAAACCUUUGGAGACUGGACCUGACCUGCCGUUUCUGCAGCCGAUCAAUGCGCUUCUGCCUCAUCGAUUCUGCCGGCUUCCAAGCCGAGCGAAGAGCCCCGGCGCAAGAGAGAUGGCAAAGUGUCUGGAUUCAAAGGACAGAACGGAAGAAUUGCCGCCUUCAGGGGAUUUCAGACAGAAGAAGCCUCCUAGCCCAGAGUACAGGGACUCCUUCCAUUGCUCCAUGUGCCACACAUGCCUUCUCUUCCACUGAACUUUGGAAUUUUAAAGGGAUGCGCUCCCCUGCUGACUCCUCUGAGAGGUCUUCUAGCUCCUGAGAUGCGCAACUGGACAGGGCUGCUAACCCUCGCCAUACAAGCCCAGAAGACUCUCCAGCCAAACCCUUGGGGCUGACCACCAAUGACCCGGGACCCCUACCU